rnacentral:SRP_RNA from 26 species
CGUUUGGGUCCUGCGCAACGGGACCCCGUGAACCUUGUCAGGUCCGGAAGGAAGCAGCAAUAAGCGGGUCUUCUCGUGUGCCGCAGGAGUGCCUGAACCGAGC